GACGGGGGAUGCAAGUGUUAUCCGGAAUCACUGGGCGUAAAGCGUCUGCAGGUGGUUUCCUAAGUCCACUGUUAAACCUUGAGGCUCAACCUCAAAUCUGCAUUGGAAACUAGGAGACUUGAGUAUAGUAGGGGUAGAGGGAAUUUCCAGUGGAGCGGUGAAAUGCGUAGAUAUUGGAAAGAACACCGAUGGCGAAGGCACUUUACUGGGCUAUUACUAACACUCAGAGACGAAAGCUAGGGUAGCAAAUGGG
rnacentral:rRNA from 1 species